AUAUCAAUAAGCGGAGGAAAAGAAACCAACAGGGAUUGCCUCAGUAACGGCGAGUGAAGCGGCAACAGCUCAAAUUUGAAAUCUGGCUCUUUCAGGGUCCGAGUUGUAAUUUGUAGAAGAUGCUUCGGGUGUGGUCCCGGUCUAAGUUCCUUGGAACAGGACGUCAUAGAGGGUGAGAAUCCCGUAUGUGACUGGGUGCCUAUGCUCAUGUGAAGCUCUUUCGACGAGUCGAGUUGUUUGGGAAUGCAGCUCUAAAUGGGUGGUAAAUUUCAUCUAAAGCUAAAUAUUGGCCAGAGACCGAUAGCGCACAAGUAGAGUGAUCGAAAGAUGAAAAGCACUUUGGAAAGAGAGUUAAACAGUACGUGAAAUUGUUGAAAGGGAAGCGCUUGCAACCAGACUUGCACACUGUCGAUCAUCCGAGAUUUUUCCCGGUGCACUCGACUGUGUUCAGGCCAGCAUCGGUUUUGGUGGUUGGAUAAAGGCCUUGGGAAUGUGGCUCCUCUCGGGGAGUGUUAUAGCCCUCGGUGCAAUGCAGCCUACUGGGACCGAGGACCGCGCUUCGGCUAGGAUGCUGGCGUAAUGGUUGUAAGCGA
rnacentral:rRNA from 1 species